rnacentral:rRNA from 1 species
UACGUAGGGUGCGAGCGUUAAUCGGAAUUACUGGGCGUAAAGCGUGCGCAGGCGGCGCGUUAAGACAGGUGUGAAAGCCCCGAGCUUAACUUGGGAAUUGCGCUUGUGACUGGCGUGCUGGAGUGUGGCAGAGGGAGGUGGAAUUCCACGUGUAGCAGUGAAAUGCGUAGAGAUGUGGAGGAACACCGAUGGCGAAGGCAGCCCCCUGGGGUAACACUGACGCUCAUGCACGAAAGCGUGGGGAGCAAACAGG